GAAAUGCGAUACGUGAUGUGAAUUGCAGAAUCUCGUGAAUCAUCUAAUCUUUGAACGCACAUUGCACUCUAGCUUGCUAGAGUAUGCCUGUUUGAGAAUCUAAUGUACUCAUUUCCCUUUAUGGCUUUACGGUUAUAGAGAGAAGAUCUGGGGCAGCUUACUAAAGUGCCCUGAAUUUCAUUAGUCUACACCUAAUUGCGUAAUGACGGCCUGCAAGGCUGCCGAAAGGUAUAUGUAUGGAACCUUGGUUUCUCAUUGUGCCGUUUAAGCAGCAGUAGUGCCCAGUGCAACAAAGUGUGGAUCCAACUACAAGACACUUGUGUCUGAACCAUGGUCUCAAAUCAGGUAGGACUACCCGCUGAACUUAA
rnacentral:misc_RNA from 1 species